GCUUCCCUCCGUGACAGGCUCAGAGAAUACUGUUCCGGGGAAAGAGCAGAGAUCACCACCAGCAACAUUUGUCCUAGAUAGAAGUAAGCGGAGCAGGCUGGAGCGCUCACUCUGGAACCCCCGAAGGGCUUGGCAUCCUGCGCAGGAAGUGUGGUGUCCUCCCUUCUGCCUCUCAGCCUGUGAUACCCUUUGCUGUACCCUGCCGCCUCCAAUGCAAGCAGGACAGAGCCAGGCAAGGAUUCCUCCACCCGCUGCAGUGGACCCUUACAAGGUAUGGGGAGUCUGGAUGAGGCACCAUCUCCCUCUAGACUGUAAUGCCCCUGAUUCAGAGAAUCCUUUUAUGUCUCCGCAUUGCCACCACUCAGCCUGGAGUCGCCUCUCAAUCACUGUCACCUGGGGUACAUGAGACACAAAGCAGUCAUUUAUGAAGUUCUCAUGAAUGCUGUCACAGGAUUUCAUCUCUGAUCUCAUUAAAUCCUCAAUGGCUGCCAGAGAACUAUUACCCUGUAUUUUUCUAUUGAGGAAACGGAGACCGAGUGAGGAGAGCUACAUGGAAGAGUAGGAUGUGAACUCAGGGCUGUUUGGCUCUAAAGUCCAUGCUCUUUUCACCCACAAUGUUACCGUUUACAAAAGUUUCUUGGGUAGAUCCAGAUUAUACGAAGUGAAGUUGUUUCAGAUCCUAACUGAUGAUGUUUCCAAACUCUCUUUCUCUCUCUCUCUCUCUUUGGUGAUGCUGGAGAUCAAUCCCAGGGCCUCUUGCAUGAUAGACAAGUAACUACUGAGCUAUAUAUCCC
rnacentral:lncRNA from 1 species